GGAGGGUGCAAGCGUUAUCCGGAUUCACUGGGUUUAAAGGGUGCGUAGGUGGGUUGGUAAGUCAGUGGUGAAAUCCCCGAGCUUAACUCUGGAACUGCAUUGGAUACUGCCGAGCUUGAGUGUGGGAGAGGAGAGUGGAAUUCCCAGUGUAGAGGUGAAAUUCGUAGAUAUUGGGAGGAACACCCGUGGCGAAGGCGGCUCUCUGGACCACAACUGACGCUGAGGCGCGAAAGCUAGGGUAGCAAACGGGAUUAGAUACCCCGGUAGUCCUAGCCGUAAACGAUGGGCACUAGGUGUUGGAGGUAUCGACCCCUCCAGUGCCGCAGCUAACGCAUUAAGUGCCCCGCCUGGGGAGUACGGUCGCAAGACUA
rnacentral:rRNA from 1 species